GGAUUCCCCUAGUAACUGCGAGUGAAGAGGGAUAAGCUCAAAUUUUGAAUCUGGCGGUCUAGUCGGCCGUCCGAGUUGUAAUCUAAAGAAGUGUAUUUCCGCGCUGGACCGUGUACAAGUCUCCUGGAAGGGAGCAUCAUAGAGGGUGAUAAUCCCGUCUUUGACACGGAGUGCCUAGGGCCUAUGUGAAACGCUCUCAACGAGUCGAGUUGUUUGGGAAUGCAGCUCCUAAUGGGUGGUAAAUUCCAUCUAAAGCUAAAUAUGGGCGAGAGACCGAUAGCGAACAAGUACCGUGAGGGAAAGAUGAAAAGAACUUUGGAAAGAGAGUUAAACAGUAUGUGAAAUUGCUGAAAGGGAAACGCUGGAUGUCAGUCGCAUUAGCUGGGGAUCAACCCGGGUGAUAUCUGGGUGUAGUUCCUGGUGGAUGGGUCAGCAUCAUUUUUUUAUUACUGUAUAAGGGCAAAAGGAAAUGUAGCACUCUUAGGAUGUGUGUUAUAGACUUUUGUUAGAUGCAGUAGUUGGGACUGAGGUACUCUGUGCACGAUUCAAYUAGGAUUUGUGCAAGGGAUGCUGGCAUAAUGGCAUUCAUCGACCCGUCUUGAAACACGGACCAAGGAGUCUAACAUGCAUGCGAGUAUUUGGGUAGGAAAACUCGAGUGCGAAAUGAAAGUGAUAAAAAUAUGGUUGAGACCUCUGUUAAGGAGGGCAUCAAYGCCCAGACUAGAGUCUAGUAGACAAUGGAUCUGCGGUAGAGCAUGUAUGUUGGGACCCGAAAGAUGGUGAACUAUGCCUGAAUAGGGUGAAGCCAGAGGAAACUCUGGUGGAGGCUCGUAGCGAUUCUGACGUGCAAAUCGAUCGUCGAAUUUGGGUCAUAGGGGCGAAAGAGUAAUCGAACC
rnacentral:rRNA from 1 species